AAGGUGAUACAGAAUGGCUUUUCUUGUAUGUUUUUCAGUGCCCCCCUCGCAGUUGAUACAUUUAGUUCUUCUGAAGGUAUAAUCAGCUGGAAUAAAUGGAGUGAUACAGUAUGUUCUAGUACAGUUGAAAUUAGUUAGUAAUUCUGUGGUAGACAGAAAGAAUAUACUGUGAUAUCAAAUGCCCAUAACCAAUGAGAAAUUGAGUGUUAUUUAAUGCUGAGUCAGUGUAGACGGUGCCUUCUUUGAAUUCCAGAUGGAUGUAGAGUAUGCUCCAGUAUCUCUGGAGCAUAGCAUGCUGGUUGCCUUUGUUGGCCACAUUCCUAUGUCUGAGGAGUGUUGUAAACUUGAACUGUUGGAUGUCUUUGCAUGUUGUUUUCAGAAAAAGAUGAGAAUCCUCCUUGGAUUUCUUGGCCAGUGUUCUGCCUGCUAAAGGCAGGCAAAAUGUCUAGUUGUUUCAGUAAUCAGGUAGGCUCUAGAGUAUAACUUUUUCACAAAUCUUCUUAGGUGUACUUUUUUAUAAACAUCUGCCCAGGGGUGAAGGCCUUAUCUCUUAGUUUGGAUAGGAAAACAUUCUUCAGCAGCUCACUGUAACAGGAAUAUAUCUUAGAAAAAUGUACUCCAAGUUGUUGGAUCCAGACAAAUUCACUGUGGCCAAAAUAAUCUUUGUGUUAUUAGCUGUAUUUAGGGGAAAUUAUGGGGGAUGUAGGAGGCUGUGGGGGACAGCGAAGGGCAAAUGUUAUCUCUUCCAAAGAAGGAAACUGAAGGUGGAAAUGGACAAAAAAUCAAAGAGGUUAUGCAAGUGGGAGUCUAACCUUGGUAUCCAACAAUACUGAAAUUAUGAAAGAAUUAGUAAGUUCCUGGAGCAUAAUAAACUGAUGAGAAAUAGCCAGCAUAGAUUUGUCAAGAACAAAUUAUGUCAAACCAAAUUGAUGUAUUUCGUUGAAGGAUAGCUGGUCUAGCGGCUAAAAAAGAAGCAGCAGAUAUGAUACAGCUUGACCUUAAAAAGACUUUUGACAUAGUCCCCAUAUGACACAAAAGUACCCAAAGGAAAUAAGAACCUAGGGAAAUUAGUAUAAAGUGAGUGCACAAGUGGUUGGAAAUUUGUAAUUAGAUUUACAAAAGUUUGCUAUCAUUCUAGGAGGACGUAUCAGCUGGGAUUCUUAAAGUCUAUCUUCAAUCAGACACUGUGCACUAUUUCUUGUAAUGACCUACCUGGAGCAGUAGAGUGAGUGUGUGCAAUUUGUAGAUGGUACAAAGGUUGAAACAGUUACAGAGAGGAGUGCUUGGAGAGCAAUUUCUAAAUUAAAAAAGCAGCUCAAUUGCAGUGGUAGUAAUUGAUGUCCAAAUGAUUUGAAAUCAGUUAGAGGAAACUCCAGUAAUUGUAAGUGCUAUAGCAAGGAAGCAUAUAAUCAAAUAAAAUAUGGAGCAUAGUUGAAUGGACAGAAAUAUUUUGACAGAGGAUCUACAGUUGCAGUGAACCACAAACUAAUUGGAGUCAGCAAUAUGAUUGUUAGAGUGCAUCUGACUAGGACUUGGACUGGAAACUCAUUACCCGGAGGUGGUGGCAUCUGCAGGUUGCACCCUACGUAGGGCAUGGUACUGGAACAAAUGUGUUACUGAGCAUGUGAGAGUCCAGCCCUUGGGAGAUACCCAAAUAUCAAAAAAGCCUAGAAAAUACAGCUUCUAAGAAAGGGUUGGAUGCACAUACUUUCAGGCUUACAAGAGGGGAAGAGAGGUGAGGCCAAUUGUCAUGUUUGUUCGCCAGCUCCUCCACCCUAAUUAAGUUGCUUCUGAAGCAUAGGAAAGUUUAUGCAUGAUAGAGGGGACAUCAUAAUGUGCUGUUAGAAAGCAAAGCUUGAAAUCUUCCCUGUAGUCUUCAGUCUCCGAUUAUGGCAACAAAAUUAUCUUUAACACAUUCUGUAUCUCCCUAAAGCAUUUUCCUUCUGUAACUGGGAAUAAAACACUGGAAAAAUGUAUCCUUCUAGACAAGAUGGAGCAUGCUUUCCUGCGUGCAGGUUACUUCUGUAGAAGCACAGGACUCAUGAACAGCAUGCUGAUGGACAUAGAAACUAGAAGCAAGUUGAUUUCUUGUUUUUUCUUGUUUUUUGCUCUAUGUGUUUUAUGUUUUGUUCUGUGUGUUAUAUUGCAUUUCACUGAGCUCUCUUUCAGAUUUAGUACACAACAGUAGGGCUUGGAUUCCUGCAACACCUUUUAGUGCCAUGUUUGUCAAAACCCCAUGAAUAACCUUGGUCUCCCAUAGCAGUGGGAGAGCGGCAACAUUUCAUCCUAGAGAAUUCCUUAUUUAUCCCAGUGUUAAAGUUUUGCUCUUCAGUCCAUCAGAGCAUCAUGCAUCAUAUCUAUGCAAAAUGAUCUGCCUGUACACACGCACAUCUGGAAGCACAGGUGCAUACAUGCUAACACACAGGUCUUCUGAUCAAAGAUACUUACAGUAACAGUAGCCAAACCCCAAGAGAAAUUUUAAAAGCGAGAAAGUAAAAUAUAUUUCAAUUUAGCUGUCUAUGGCCAGAAUGCUGCAGUAAGAAAGAAAAACUAAUAUUGAAAUUUCUCUGCUUUUGGCCAGUCUUAUCUUAAGACGUUAUUAACAUGGUUUUUUUUGUACUGGAAAAGUUGCAGUUACUGCAAUCCAUUAAAUACAGUAAUUAAGAAAAAAAGUGGCAUUUUGCAAUUGGACGAUUGAGGUUUGAUGAAUUGUAUGUUUUUUAAUCAACAGGAAAACAAUACUUCUGAAAACAAAAUUUGUGUGUCCCAUUAAUACCUAUAAAUAAGCAGAUUUCCAUAGGUUAUUGAAACUGCCUCAUGGCAGGCACGGAGAAAAACAAUUUAACUGUUAUGGGGAAGUUUUACCAACUUGGCAAUAUUUAUAUCAUACUCUACCUGCAAACUGUUCAAACUUCCAGCUCUCCAUUUGUGAGAGAAGGACAUUUUGUUUCUCUUUUCUAUAGUGAAGGCUUUAUAGUUUGCUUUUCGAAAACAGGAGGGAAAGCUAAUUCUUGACUUCACAUUUCUGAAGUUUUCUAACAUUUCUUUAAAGCUCUGUGUUUGUUUUUUUUUUCAUUCAGUCUAGGCUUCUUGAAUUAGUUUCUCCAGACUGUUCUGUAAUAAAUGGUAGGCUUCAGUGAUUACCUCUUCUUAGUUCUCCUGUCUUAUUAACUAGCUCUCCCUCCAAGAACAAUGAAGUAGAGCAGAGCAAACUGCUGGCUAGGGCUGCUCCAGCUUUCUUGAAAGGCAAAGGGUUACAGUACAGCCUCGAUGUUGCAGACAGGCUGGCCGAUGAACAUGUGCUCAUUGGGUUGUAUGUCAACAUGCUGCAGAGCAACCCCGCACGGUUAGUGCAGGUUUGGCACUUUGGGGUGAUCCAGGAAAGGGACGCUGGUUGGCCACGUGCUCUCCUCGUGGCUACCCACGAGGCAGAUUUCUAUGAGCACUAACCUGAAGGGAACGUGUAUGCUUGUGGGGUAUGUCCUCCCGGAGCUGCUGAAGGUAUUGCUGGUAGCAAGGUAUUGCAAAUAAGUAUUUGAAUAAAGAGUGACUUUACAAAUUGGUUUGGAAUGCCACACACCUGUCAUUGAGGAACUUGACAAUGGUCAAGUGUUCACACAAUGACUUGAUAAUUUUUAAGAUGAUAUAUAAUUCAUAGCUUCGGCUUACCUUGAUAAUAAAAGUGGUAGUAAUAUGUAAAUAAUGCCAAUAAUAGGAAUUUGCUUAUUAGCCUGGUGAAGGAAGGAAUUAAUUUCAAUUUUUACUUAUGCCAGGCAUUGUUUUUACAUCUACCUGAUUUCUGCUUUGUUUGUAUGUAUCUUGUGUAUAUAUAUAUAUAUAUAUAUAUACACGCACCUUAUAUUUCAUUCAGAUUCAGGUAUGAAAGGUUUUUAAAUGUGCCUUGAAUGUAGUUCAUUAUUUCUGAGGGAGGGACUAUGGAGCACAGGGCUCCAUGCUAUUUCUAAAGUUAUGUGCUCUCCUAAUGCUGGUGGCUAAUGGCCUCACAGCUGUUCCUACUGCUACUGCUUGUGAGGUUUUCCCAGGUUAGAAACUCCCUGUAUACUGUUAUGCGUAGAGAAGGCAAUAAACAGCUUUUUCUCUGCAACCUCAAAAAAUUGAUUUCUGUGUGUAGCUCCUCUCUCUGUGGAGCAGAGAAUCUGUAUUUGUUGUUCUGGAUCUGCUUCUCUACUCUGCAUCCCACUAGAAUUUACCAGUGGGAAGAAA